rnacentral:sRNA from 1 species
GUCGAACUGAUUGAAUCCAAUCAAUAGAAAAUGACUCAACCUGUAGAUUGCUUAAUUCUCAUACAAUUCAGUGGCAACAAUAGAGAGAAACCUUAAUUCCAAAGGCUCUGCUAAAUAUCCAAUGAAAUUGUACAUUGAGUUUGAAAUGCAAUCGAAACCCCCAAUAUCACUAUCGUUUGGGUUAACUAGAAGUAUUCUCUAAUUGACAGUAAAAGACUAAUUCCUGAAAUACCAAAAUUCUUUUAUAAUGUUAAAUUUUUCAUCAAAAGUUCUUCUCUACACUCUAACAUGAAGAUCUAACUUAUCAUCAGGCAUCAAACUGCUUGUAUUGACAAAGAUGAAUAUCUCAAAGCCUGAUUCACAAGGACACACAACGAAAGCAACACUUCCAUUUCAGAGCACAUUCGUAUUAAUUUACACUUACUCAGGAUCAAUUUUCAAAUGCGAAUCGGAGUUUAGAACAUCUCCAAAGGUCCAAAACUCAGUAGAAAUAUAAACCUCUACAAUUUCAACGAAGACACAUAAAGUAGCCGCAUCAAACAUUGUAAUCGUGUUAAACGCGAUUGCAUUCGUUCACAGAAAACCUAGCGAGUGAAAGCGUACAGAACGAGCGAGGCGUAGAUGAGGAGCGCAAUGGGGACGAGGAUGAGAAGCGGAACGACGGCGGCGUAGGUGUGCGAGCUUCCGCAGGCAAGCGUUCCAAGCUUUAUCUGCGCGACGUUGACAAGCGCAAGCAUGAGAAAGGAGCAGCCAAAGACGGAUCCCACAGCAGAGACGAGCAUUCCGACGCGGAGGGAGGAGCGGUUGACGUGCGCGACGAGGUGCUCGACGGCGGCGGGGUAGUGGAAAGAGGUGGUGCGGGAGAGGCGAAUAGCCUGCUUGAGCGCAAGUGCGACAAGGCUGGAGAAGAGAAAGGAGCUGAAGGAGUAGACGUGGAAGGCGAUGAGGUUCUCGGCGAUGGCGGCGGUGGGAGCGCACGCCGGAUCGGAGUUGAGAUUGUUCUCCGGAUCGUUAGGGUUCCACGUUAGGCCUACGAAGACAGCGAGAGUGAAAAGGGAGUUCACGUUCACUAUCGCGUCUAACGCGGUGAUGUGAAGACUCGUGAAGGAAGAUGACAUUGCUAUUAUUUUCUUCAGGCAGAAAAAGAGAGAAGACGACGAAAAUUUAUGGAAUGGACUCUUACGGGAAACGGGGUCACUGGUCAGAUAUAUGCCUGCCAGCAACGAAACGCUUUCACCGACCUGUUUUCUGUAAAUACAAAGAUUUAUUUGUAAUUAUUGGGGUCUUUUUGCGUGUUUAACAGUUUCUUU